CUUUUACCAAACUCUGGCACGAGCACGACGACGACUCCGUUGAUCGAUUCGUCGUCUCCUCUAUUUUCCGCCGCCGCCGCCGCGUCUCGCCGCUCCGACCAUGUCCUCCGCCGCCGGUGAGGACUCGUCGUCGUCUCGAAAGGGGAAGGAGAGGGAGGAGGACGGCGCCGGCGAGAGCCACCGGGAGGAGGGGGUUGCAGUGAUGGAGGUAGAAGUGGAUCUGGGCGACCUCUACGGCGCGGCGGCGGGGUGGGUCGAGGCGCGGACCAGCUGCCCGCACCUCGGCACCAUGCCGCCCACUGGUGCGGCCGAACUCGCGCGCGUGCCCCCGCCCGACUCUCCGUGCUCCAGAUGUCAUCACCCUGCUGAAAACUGGCUAUGCUUGAUCUGCAAAGAUGUGCUGUGCAGUCGUUUUAUCAACAAACAUAUGUUGUGCCAUUAUCAAGAAAAAGGUCAUUGUCUUGCUUUGAGCUUCAGUGAUCUGUCAGUUUGGUGUUUUGGAUGUGACUCAUACCUAGACGUUCAAGCAAUCUUAGAACUGCGUCCAGUCUAUGAAAUUGCACAUUUAUUGAAGUUUGGAGAACGUCCACCUUUUCGAUCACUUGAAGUACUGGAUUUGAGCACCGGUGAAAAUAGAAGUUCGUCAUCAGCGGCCUAGUUCUCUAUAUUCUGUUACUGAAUUUCUUUUCAUGGUGCUUCAAUCAGAUUCAGACAGACAGUUGGCAGUUGUCUACUAACCUGGGAACCGUCCCAGGAGCUUCAAGGUCAACUAGGGCACUUUGCGAUAAGCAUCUAGCAAACUCUUUGCAUCUGAAAAAUCGGUAACAACUGUUAAAAGUGGUAUGAGCUUCUGGGAGGACAAAUACUGAAAUGAAAAUUGUUGCAUGGCCUUCUUUUAUGCAGAAUGAUUGAUAGAUACUGAUGCCAUCUGAUAUUCCCUGGGGUGAUAGUGAUAUCAAUUUGCCACUUGCCUAAUUCUGUCUGUCCAAUCAGAUGUAAAAAAAUAUCUGUUCUUUCGUUGUCACUCGCGUGCUUGGCGAGGUAUGGUGGAUCCGUGGAUGGUCAUAGGAUGGGAUUUUCCUUAAGUAGCAGUAGCAUUUUCCUUAAGUACUAAGUAGCAUUAGAUGCAUCGUUAUUGUUAAAUCAAGCAUUAUCAUGUCUAUUUCUAGCUAGUGCUUGUUUGAUCAUUAUUGUGAUCAAUAAUCAUUCUAUAUUGUAAUCUCAAA